UACGAAGGGGGCUAGCGUUGCUCGGAAUCACUGGGCGUAAAGCGCACGUAGGCGGCUUACUAAGUCAGGGGUGAAAUCCUGGAGCUCAACUCCAGAACUGCCUUUGAUACUGGGAAUCUCGAGUCCGGGAGAGGUGAGUGGAACUGCGAGUGUAGAGGUGAAAUUCGUAGAUAUUCGCAAGAACACCAGUGGCGAAGGCGGCUCACUGGCCCGGUACUGACGCUGAGGUGCGAAAGCGUGGGGAGCAAACAGG
rnacentral:rRNA from 1 species